rnacentral:tRNA from 1 species
GGGGCGUAGCUCAGUUGGUAGAGCGUUCGGUUCGCAUCCGAGAGGUCAAGGGUUCGACUCCCUCCGUCUCC